ACGUGGAGCUCAUCGCCGAGGGGCCGCACUGCCCCGUGCCCGAAGUCAUCGCCACCCUGAAGGACGGCCGCAAGCUCUGCCUCAACCCCGCGGCGCCCUGGGUCCAGCUCAUCAUCAACAAGAUCCUCCAUCGUACGACCCAGAAAAACUGAUGAAGAAAAGGUCUAGAUUCCACUGCAAAGGA